ensembl:lncRNA
AGAGAACUGCCAAGUCAGUUCCGGCAGAGAGCGCGGUGAGAAGCGGAUCGCGGCCUUCUGUCCCGGGGCCCUCCGGGCCCUCUGGCCUCGGCCAGCGGUGAACUGGGGGGCCCUGGGACAGGCCUGAACUGUGUCCUGCAGAGCUCCAGAGUCCUCGCGGCCGUCCAUGGCCCAGGCCUUGGAGUAGCAGCGAACCUCUCCCCCACCCCCACCUCCGCGACCAAAUGGCGGCGGACCCCGCGAGCCCAGGCCCAGCCGAUCGCCGGGUCUCUUGGCCCAGCGCUGCAGGGCUUAGGCGAAGCCUCUGCCAAAUCGCCUUUGGGAGUCCAGCGUGGCAGGGCGAGAAGAAUGGCGGCCACUCGAACGCCAUGGAGAGCCGUUAGAGCCUCGAGGGCCCGAGAAGGCUGCCACCCUUGGGCCUUGGAGCCGUGCGGAUUUGGGACCUGUGGUGGCCGCUCUGUCCCGGUUGGACGAGACCUCACCUCAUCCGGUAAACGACGGACAAAGGCCUUUACGGGCCCGGAAGAAAAGGAAUGUCUUCUGGAAAUGACUUUGAGAUGGAAUUGUUUGACCACCUCUGAAGUGACAUCAGAAGAGACAGAGAUCCACGUUUGUUCAGUGGGUUAGAGGACAUGGAGUGGAAGAUUUCGAGGAAGAAGAAGGUUCUGUGCCAGACUCGUCAUACUUAGAAGACAUUUGCAUAUUAUAACCAUUGUUUUGUGUGUGCAUUUUAUUCCUCACUUCUAUAUAUAGUUGACAAUAAGUACUUUUUGGAAAUAUCUAGGCUUUCUAGAUUUUCUGAAGUCCCUGACAUAUGUUAAAAGUAGAGGUAGUAAAAAGACAUCUUUUUGUGUAUGAUAGAAAUAUCUUUUUGUUAAAACUCAUAUGAAAUAUUGUUUAUUUGGGGGGAGGGGGGUUGGCCAAACCACCUCUUUGAAUAGUGCAUUGUGUUUGUGCACUGGUUCAAGGUCGGGGGAGGAGAAGGAAGUGCAAAGAGCUCUUUGCUAGUGUUUAUAGCAAGGCAAGGUUAACCAUUGUUCUUUUUACGUGCAUUUCGUUUCACUUUGUGUGUAUAUAGUGUACAUAACGGACAAAUGAGUCCUAAUUUACAACAUCUGGUCCUUCUAGAUGUUAAAGAGGUUGCCAGUGUAUGAUAGAAAUAGAGAUAGUAAACUAAUACCAUCCUAUACAUUUUGUGUCCUGAAAAUGUGAGCAUUAUAGCCCUCUGGGUUGGUAGAGGGGGGAGAGAAGAGAAGGGGGGUGGUCUUAUGCUAGAAUGCUCACAUUUGGAAGACACUUUCAGAUUAUAACUGUUACAUGUCGCAGUUUAUUGAGACUGCUCUGUAUAUAGUGGACAAAUUAAGUCCUUAUUUGAAACAUCUAGUCCACCUAGAUGUUUAGAAGUGCCCGACGUAUGUUAAAUGUAGAGGUAGUAAAAUAUCACUUUGUAAAUAGCUUUUAGCUAAAAUUCAUAGGAAAUAUUGUCUUUUGAAAAUGGAAUUGUUAAACCACCUCUGUGACCAGUAGUUUGGAGUAGGUGAGAAGGAAAGAAUUGCAAAAGGUAAUAUGCUAGUGUGUUUGGACGUUUUCAGACAAAACCAUUUUUUGUAUGUUAGGUGCAUUUUGCUUUUCUGUGUAUAUAGUGUAUAUAAUGGACAAAUGAGUCCUAAUUUUGCAACAUCUAGUCUCUAGAUGUUAAAGAGGUUGCCAGUGUAUGACAAAAUAGUAAGAUUUACAUAUUUUUUACACUUUGUGUUGAAAUUUAUAGGAAAGCUUGUCUUCUGUAGAUGACUUUUGGAUAUGAAUUUGUUCAUUCACCUCUAAGCAUUACACAUUGCCUGUACUUGUCCACUGAAUUCAUGGUGGAGAGAAGGAAGUGAGGGAGGGAAUGCUUCAGGCCAAAAUGGUCAUAUUUAGAAGAUACCUCAGAUUAUAACCAUUGUUACACGUGUGCAAUUUUAUUUAACAGUGCUGUGUACUUAGUGGACAAGUAAGUUCUUAUAUGAAAUAUCUAGUCUUGCUGGGUAUUUAGAAGUGCUUGAUGUAUUUAAAAGUAGUAGUAGUAAAAUAAUGCUUCUUGUAAAUAGCUUUUAAAAACAUGGGAAAUGCUGUCUUUGGAAAUGGAAUUGUUAAACCUCCUCUGACCAGUAUACUCUGCUCAUUCAUUGGGUUGAUGGAAGUGGGAGGGAAGAUUGCAAAAACAUGUUUUGCUAGUGUGUACUAAAAAAUUUCACCUUAUUGGUUGCUCUAUGUUACAUGCAUUUUGUUUAACUUUACUGUAUAUAUUAUGUAUAUACUGGACAAAUGGGUUCCAAUUUUAUAAUAUCUAGUCUCUAGAUAUUAAAAAGAGGUUGCCAAUGUAUGACAAAAGUAGAGUUAGUAAACUAACACAUUUUGUACACUUGUGUUAAAUUCCAUUGAAAGGCUGUCUUCUGAAAAGGACCUUUGGAAAUAAAAUUGUAAAUCACAUCUAAGUGACACAUGUGCCUGAACUCAGCCACUGUUGGAUGGACAGUGGGAAGGAAGAGUUAGGAGCAAUGAAGCAUUCUAAUAAGCUAGAAUGUUUCUGUGUAGAAGACACUUUCAUAUAUAACCAUUUUUACAUGUGUGUGGUUUAUUCAACACUACUGUGUAUAUAUAGUGGACAAACUUAAGUCCUUAUUUGAAACAUCUAGUCUUUCUAGAUGUUUAGAAGUGCACAAAGUAUGUUAAAAGUAGAGGUAGUGAAAUAACAUUUUGUAGAUAUCUUUUUGUUAAAAUUCAUAUGAAAUAUCGCCUUUUAGAAAUGGAAUAAUCAAACCACCUCUUUGAGCAGUGCACAUUAUUUUAUUUGUGCUGGUUCAAGGAGGAAGAAAAAAGUACAAAGGGCUUUAUACCAAUAUGUUUAUAGUUAGGAGAGAUUAACCAUCGUCCUGUAUGUCUGUGUUUUGCUUUACUUAGUUGUGUAUAUAGUGUACAUAAAGGACAGAUGUCCAAAUUUACAUCUAGUCUUCCUAGAUGUUAAAGAGGUUGCCAAUGUAUGACAAAAGUAGUUAGAAAAUAAAUACAUUGUGAAUACUUUGUUAAAAUUCAUACGAAAAAUUGUUCUGAAAGCAACUGGAGGAGAUGAAAUUGUUAGAAUCCCCUCUAAGCAUUUCAGAUGCUUUAUUACACUUGCUUACUAGGUUGAUAGAGAUGAGAAGGGGAAGGGUUCUAGGCCCGUGUUCCUGUUUAGAAGACACUUUGAGAUUAUAGCCUUUGUGUGCAGUUUAUUCAAUACUACAUGUAUGUAUAGUAAACUAAAAUCCUUAUUUGAAACAUCUAGUCUUUCUAGAUGUUUAAAAGUGUACAACAUAUGCUAAAAGUAGAUAAUUAACACCUUUUAAGAUUUUUUUCUGUUAAUUCAUAGGAAUGGUCAUAUUUGGGGAAUGGGAUUGUUAAACUUGAGCCUUGGAGAGUAUGCUGACUGAUGACUGGGGUGGUGGGGGUUGGGGGGGACAGGGAAGGAAGCUCAGAGAAGGGUUCUGUGCUCAUGAGUCUUUAGAAAGCUUCAGAUUUUCUAACCAUUGUUCUGUUUGUGUGUUUGAGUUAAUAUUGCUGUGUAUUAAAGAAUAAACAAGUCCCAGUGUCCAAAGUAUAUUGAAAGUAGAAGUAGUAAAAUAAUUCCUUUAUAAAUGCCCUUUUGUGGGUUUUUAGGAAGGGCUAUGACUUCUGGGAGUGUCUAUGUUAAUCCACCUUUUGUAGCUAGAUGUAGUCCUGUAGUUAGUCACUGAAAUGCUGGAAGAGGGUUAAGAGGAAGGGUGAAGGGAAGGGCUCUUGGCUAUUAUCUCCAUAUCUAGACAGUUUUAGUUUAUAACCAUAGGUCUAUAUGUGCAUUUUUGUAAAGUUUCUGUUUAUUGUGGACAAGGUUCAUUCUUUAUCUUGCAACAUCUAUGUCCCAAGAUAACAUAUGAUAAAAAGUAGAGUUAGUGAGUUAACCAAUUUGUAAAUAAAUAUCUUUGUUACAAUGAUAUAAAACAGCAUCUUGGACAUGAAUUGUUAAAGUCUCAGAAAUGUAUGUCAGGACUUGUUCACUAGGUUGGCAGCAGAGGGGCAGAAGGAAAGUAUAAAGGGAGGGUUGUAUGCGAAUGUGUUCAUAUUUAUAUUUUGGUGAUAACCAUUGAUGUGGGUGCAUCUUUUGGCUGUAAUAUAAGCAAUUCAGUGGAAACAUACCUCCUUGCUAAUAUUUUAAUAGUUUGGAUAAUUAGUCCUCUUAGAGGCAUUAUACUUUAUGUACUCUGUUGCUUUAUGUGUCAUUUUUAAUUGAACAUAAGGGAAUGUAGUAUUUUAAUCAUAACUCUACCAAUAUCUUUAUCUUGAAGCCUGUUGCUAUUUUUGUCUUUUAUGUAAUUUUAUCGCUAAGAAAGGCAGGAUUACAUUUUUUUUCCUUCCAGAUCGAGUUGGUGUAGUAUAUUCUUGGUUAUCAAAAUAAAAUACUCAUAUAGCUUUGGGACUUUGAAAUGGUAAAUAUUCAUGAUGUGUGAAAAAGCAUGAUACAUAACUAUGAUCUUAAUUACAUAAAAAUGGAUGCUUCAUUGUGUAGAUACACAAACGAAAUCUAGAAGGACAUAUCAACCUGUAAACUGCUUGAUUAUGGAUGACUUUGUUUUUUGCUUCCUAUUUGCUUGUGUUUUUCAGUUUCCUAUUAUGCACAUGUUAACUUUUAAGAAAUAAAUUUUACUUAAAAA